UCCUACGGGCGGCUGCAGUGGGGAAUUUUGGACAAUGGGGGCAACCCUGAUCCAGCCAUGCCGCGUGCGGGAAGAAGGCCUUCGGGUUGUAAACCGCUUUUGUCCGGGAAGAAAAGGCAUCUCCUAAUACGGGGUGUUCUUGACGGUACUGGAAGAAUAAGCACCGGCUAACUACGUGCCAGCAGCCGCGGUAAUACGUAGGGUGCGAGCGUUAAUCGGAAUUACUGGGCGUAAAGCGUGCGCAGGCGGUGAGUUAAGUCUGAUGUGAAAGCCCCGGGCUCAACCUGGGAACGGCAUUGGAAACUGGCUCGCUGGAGUGUGGCAGAGGGGGGUGGAAUUCCGCGUGUAGCAGUGAAAUGCGUAGAGAUGCGGAGGAACACCGAUGGCGAAGGCAGCCCCCUGGGCCAACACUGACGCUCAGGCACGAAAGCGUGGGGAGCAAACAGGAUUAGAUACCCUUGUAGUCGGU
rnacentral:rRNA from 1 species